AUGCUCACUGACCAUCCCAUAUUUUCCUGCUUGGCCUGCCUGCCUCCAGCUCCACAUGGCCACCAUCAGUCCAGGCACGAUGGCUGUCGUCCUCGAGGUAUGGGUCGGCCAGAGCAGAUGCGGGGAGCAGUGAGCAGCCUAAAACCAUGGAGCCUGGCCCACCAGCAUCUUGGCGCGCCCAUGGCAAGCUUGCAGAGAAGGAGCAGCAGAGCAGCUGGGCAUUUUCCCCAUCGCAGCCGCAAGCAUCCGGCCCAGAGUUCCAGCAGAGCCUUAUUUAUUUCAAUUAGCUCAUUAGGCCUUUCAAGCCUCUGUGCUUAUCUGAAAAAAUAAAUAUUUGCUGUACAGCACGUCACAUUGCUCGGUGUUAUGUUCUCUGCGUAAAGAAGGGCCUUGCAAAGAAUACCACAAAGAGCUUGUUAUAAAUUUAUUGUGAGGACUUUGGUUCUGAUUUUUUUAUUUUUAUUUUUAUUUUUAUUUUUUUUUUUUUUUUAGGAUUAAAGUCUCAGGGUUGAUGCUGCAUUAGUUUGACAUUUCUGCGGAAAAUAUUGCAUUUCAUAACAAUGCGCUCAAGUUCCACUGGAGAGAGACAAGUAAGCAGCAAACAAAACUCAUGUCAAACUUGGGGCAGAUAAGAACAAGUAUCAUUUUGAAAUCUCAAGUUCUUCUCCCCUUUGUUAUGGCAUAAGGAGAAAUAUUCGAGCGUUAGCAGCCGUGGCACUGAGGUGACGGCCCUUGCAUCGAUGUAGUUAAUCUGUCAGCAAUUCCAUCAGCAAACCUGUUUUUCAGACCUGUUAGCUGUGGUCUGAAAAUCAAUUCCAGACUUAAUCAGGGACAGAGGGGUGUAUUCCGGUGUCCUGCAUGCUGGCGAUACGCAUGCAUUGCUGGGGAGAAGAGAUUCCAAGGUCUCAGACCAUGAGAAAUUUUAUGCUUACAAUAUUUAUGACAGAAUAUCACAGCUGUGCUACAGACUGCAGAAAAAUAGACAAAAUAGGUGAUUCAAAUGCAAAAUAGUUUGUUCCUCUGAUGGAAAUUCUUUGGCCUUUUGGCCU
rnacentral:lncRNA from 1 species